rnacentral:rRNA from 1 species
GACAGAGGUGCCAAGCGUUAGGCGGAAUCACUGGGCUUAAAGCGUGUGUAGGCGGAUUUGUAAGUACCUUGUGAAAUCCCACGGCUCAACCGUGGAACUGCUCGGUAUACUGCUUAUCUUGAGCCACUUAGGGGCUACCGGAACAAAUGGUGGAGCGGUGAAAUGCGUAGAUAUCGGGAGGAACACCAAUGGCGAAGGCAGCUCGCUGGGACGGUACUGACGCUGAGACGCGAAAGCGUGGGGAGCAAACAGG